AUAGCCGUAGCGUUAAACGCAUAGCUUUUCAGCAAGACCAAGCUGAGGGUCGUGGGUUCGAAUCCCACCGGUUGAG
rfam:Aedes aegypti strain Liverpool supercont1.602 genomic scaffold, whole genome shotgun sequence.